GAAGAGAGGAGCCUUGAAACUUGAAAACCGAGAGCACCACCUGAAUCCCCUUCGCAAAUGAAGUCUCCCUUGAUGAGCUUGCGAAGUUUUGGUGGUGGAAUCUCAAGAUCCCUAGGGUGGGCGAAGAUGAGAGGAGAGGGAGGAGAGAGUUACCGGGGUGAGUGAAAGAGAUGAAUGAACCAGUAACUCCUCAGCGUAAAAAGAUAUACUCGCAAAGUUUCUGAAUUUUCCGCAACUUCCGGAAUUUUCUGAAAAAGUUUCGGAAAUUUCCGCACAAUCAGAAUUUUUCUGAAAAAGUUCCAGAAUUUUCCGCUCCCCCUGGCUAACAGCCACUAGAUUUAAGUGGAAUUAGAUGUGGGAUAGAUUUGGAUGACUAUGGUUGUAAAAACUAUAUGAGCAUGACUAAUCCUACCACUUGAGAUCAGCCAACAAGCAACCAAUGAGAACAAUGAUCCAAGUGAUAGAUCCAAUGUAACUCCAAAUAUUUUCAAAGUAAAACCACACUUCAAUUUUAACAAAGAUUUUAAUUUUGAAACCAAUCUAUCCUAUGUCAUUCAAAUAUGCACAUGAUUUCAAGCUAUGUUACGAGAGUCCAAAAUAUUUAGUUCAC
rnacentral:lncRNA from 1 species